rnacentral:rRNA from 1 species
CGCUGGCGGCAUGCCUUACACAUGCAAGUCGAACGGCAGCGCGGGGCAACCUGGCGGCGAGUGGCGAACGGGUGAGUAAUAUAUCGGAACGUACCCUGGAGUGGGGGAUAACGUAGCGAAAGUUACGCUAAUACCGCAUACGAUCUAAGGAUGAAAGUGGGGGAUCGCAAGACCUCAUGCUCCUGGAGCGGCCGAUAUCUGAUUAGCUAGUUGGUAGGGUAAAAGCCUACCAAGGCAUCGAUCAGUAGCUGGUCUGAGAGGACGACCAGCCACACUGGAACUGAGACACGGUCCAGACUCCUACGGGAGGCAGCAGUGGGGAAUUUUGGACAAUGGGCGCAAGCCUGAUCCAGCAAUGCCGCGUGAGUGAAGAAGGCCUUCGGGUUGUAAAGCUCUUUUGUCAGGGAAGAAACGGACCUUUCUAAUACAGGGGUCUAAUGACGGUACCUGAAGAAUAAGCACCGGCU